UGUGCCAGCAGCCGCGGUAAUACGUAGGGUGCGAGCGUUGUCCGGAAUUAUUGGGCGUAAAGAGCUUGUAGGCGGCUUGUCGCGUCUGCUGUGAAAGCCCGGGGCUUAACUCCGGGUCUGCAGUGGGUACGGGCAGGCUAAGUGUGGUAGGGGAGACUGGAAUUCCUGGUGUAGCGGUGGAAUGCGCAGAUAUCAGGAGGAACACCGAUGGCGAAGGCAGGUCUCUGGGCCAUUACUGACCGCUGAGAAGCGAAAAGCGUGGGGAGCGAACAGGAUUAGAUACCCUGGUAGUC
rnacentral:rRNA from 1 species